rnacentral:sRNA from 1 species
GAACCCUCACCCAGAAUGAAAUGAUAUUUAAGCGGCUGCACCUGGGCACCGUGUCCUAUGGCGCCGACACGAUGGAUGAGAUCCAGAGCCAUGUCAGGGACUCCUACUCACAGAUGCAGUCUCAAGCUGGUGGAAACAAUACUGGUUCAACUCCACUAAGAAAAGCCCAAUCUUCAGCUCCCAAAGUUAGGAAAAGUGUCAGUAGUCGAAUCCAUGAAGCCGUGAAAGCCAUCGUGCUGUGUCACAACGUGACCCCCGUGUAUGAGUCUCGGGCCGGCGUUACUGAGGAGACUGAGUUUGCAGAGGCUGAUCAAGACUUCAGUGAUGAGAAUCGCACCUACCAGGCUUCCAGCCCGGAUGAGGUCAGUCAAAGCACAAAACCGUGGGAGCUUGUCCGUUCCAUUUGGACUCCAGAGUCAUGAGGAUUCAUUCUUUCUGGGAUGGGGAAUAGAGGAGCAGUUUACCGUAGCUUUAAUGUAUGUUUUAGCUGUAUGUGGAAAACUGCCCAACCUAUUCCAGCAUGUAGCCUCUCAUGUAGCCUGGGCCUUGCACAUGCAAAUGUGUGG